rnacentral:sRNA from 1 species
GCCAGGUGGGGUGGCACACACCUGUAAUCCCAGCAGCUUGGGAGGCUGAGAAGGGAGAAUCGCAGGUUCAAAGCCAGCCUUAGCAAUGGUGAGGCGCUAAGCAACUCAGUGAGACCCUGUCUCUA